AUGGAGACACUGAUGCUUGAUCUACCCAGUUACCUCUGUGUUCAAUUACUGAUGGUCUGUCGCAACUUGACAGAACCGAGAGGGGGUGACAUGCCAAGCAGCCACGUAGGAGCCCGUGUGGAAGAGGACAAAUCCCCAUUCUGCUCAUGAGUCAGCCACUCCGUCAAGACGAAAGUUAGAAACAAAGCAGAUUUGGGAGGCUACAAUCAAGGUCAUUUGAGAAGUAGGACCCAGUGUAUUACCAUUACCUAUGGGCAUCCACAAAGAAAUUUACAGACGUGGGAAAGGCUAGAUAAUGAGAAUGCUCCAUAAGGAGGCACUGAAUUUCACCAGGGAGAAAUGCAUCUAAGUUGCUUCACAAACGUUAAGAAAUAUACCUACAUAAUUGUAUGUUCCAUUUUCCAUGGUCUUUUCUUUGUUCAUUUCAUGUGCAGUGAUUAAAAAGAUAUAUUGUACAUUUUAUUAUCUCUUAUGUUUUCCAAUAAAUACAAACCUGGAGUGCUUUUUUUUCUUUUUCAUUCUUCUCAGAGGUGUGGUGAACAUUGAAUAAGAUAAUAAUUUUGAAAUAGUUAUGUCUUGUCUGUUUGGGCUGCUAUAACAAAAUACCACAGACUGAGUGGCUUAUGGAUAAUAGAAAUUUAUUUUUCGGAGUUCUAGAGGCCAGAAGUCUGAAAUUAGGGCUGGCAUGUCAGGUGAGGGCUCUCUUUCAGGUUACAGAUUUCUUGUAUCCUUAGGAGCCCUUUUUAUAAGGCACUAAUCACCUUCCAAAGGCCCCACCUCCUAAUACCAUCACUUUUAGGGAUAAGAAUUUGACGUAUGAAUUUUGGGAGGACACACUCUGUGAGA
rnacentral:lncRNA from 1 species